rnacentral:rRNA from 1 species
CAUGUCUAAGUAUAAACACUUUUAUACACGUGAAACUGCGAAUGGCUCAUUAAACCAGUUAUAGUUUCUUUGAACGUACCUUACUACUUGGAUAACCGUAGUAAUUCUAGAGCUAAUACAUGCCUACACGCCCGACUCACGAAGGGUGGUAUUUAUUAGAUAAAAAACCAAUGCACUUUUGUGCUUUGUGAUGAUUCAUAAUAACUCUCGGAUCGCACGGCCUAGAGCUGGCGACGGUUCAUUCAAAUUUCUGCCCUAUCAACUUUCGAUGGUAGAGUAGUGGUCUACCAUGGUGUCAACGGGUGACGGGGAAUUAGGGUUCGAUUCCGGAGAGGGAGCCUGAGAAACGGCUACCACAUCCAAGGAAGGCAGCAGGCGCGCAAAUUACCCAAUCC